AGCGGCCACCUGGCCCAGUGCUUCCGUAUGCCUAUUCCGGUUGAAGUUGCCUCUGGGCGUUAAAAAGAGGGCGUAGGCAGGCGCUUGUUUCACUGGUCAGGUGCGCGUAUCUACACCCUCCGGCGAUGGAUUGCGACUGGCGUAUGUAAGGCUGUUGUUAAGUUUGAUUGAUCUGUUUUAAGCGGCCUAAAGUAUAUUUGUACUGCCCAAAGUAAUGUAAAUGUAGAUUGGCCACGAGAAGGCCGAGAUUUCAAAGCAAAGUCGGAGGCGUUGGUGGCGGAAGUCUCUGGGCGCUUUACUUCAACAAGUAGAGGUGCAGAGGCGGUUCGCCGAUUAGUCCGCAGCUAUAACUCUAGUGGUUCGAACCGAAGUUACCCUCCCCUCCUCGCUACCGAAAGAACCCUGGGUUCACCGUCGUUGGGUGAUACGAGAUGAGAAAGGAACAACGACCGCCGUGGGCGCCUGCACGGCCACCCCGCGCCGGAACCGCCUCGGCCACUACAGGAGACGGAGUAUUAGACAGAACUGGGUGUGGGGCAGACAGCGGAGCAACUUGAGGAACAUCCACCUGAGAUCAAGGCGGACUGCGACCAUCAUUGUGGUAGUCUGCUCCGCUUAGAGCGUCCGCCUCACCAUCCUGAGUUCGUCGCGGCGGCCCAUACGAAGGCCACGUUAGAGGACAGCCGCCACUCGAUGAGGAGGCGGACGACCACGAGGACCUCCUCGACCACCAACAUCUGCUACAAUCGUACGCGGAGGGCCUUGACGAGGAGUGCGUGGUACAGGUACAUUAUCCGUGCUCGGAGCGGCUACCAGUACCACGUUACGUCACCGCUCCCACCGCCGCUCCUCCUCCUCCCACCGCGACCGAGCAGCAGCUGGCGCAGGAGGUAACCCUGCAACAGCAGGAGGCCGACGGUCGGCUGUCGUUACCGCCGGUAGAGGAAGAUUAGGCAACAGUCGGGCAGAGUCUCUCGAAACCUCACGCCCCUUCGGUACCACCCUUACCACGUCUCUCCUCUUUCCCUAGUUUCCGCCUACUAACGCCGAUACCAGUCCUGUUAUUAAAUAUAUCGUUGCUACCGGCCGUCUCCCCGCCUGCCCACCACAGCCUCAUCGGUGGAGCAAAUGGCACACAGUGAUUACACCCGCCGUCUGCCGGCGGCUGCUUGCCGGUAGUACAGCAAACUUGCGCUUCGUUAGUAGACGUAGCCUUUCACCGCGCGACGAAGUCACGACCGAGAUCAAUCUCCAGUGCAAGCGAAACCGGCCCGUACUUACGCCGUGACUGCGAUACCUUGCUGUUACUGGCAAAAUCCGCCUUCUGUUCCCGCCCUC
rnacentral:rRNA from 1 species